CCUUCUUUCCCAUAAACUGAGUGCAUGUUUCGAGUCGCUUCGGCUGCAGUGUUUCUUUUUUUGUAUUCAUAAAGCAUUAUGUACCUCAAAUGCUCUUUGGAUAUUUCCAAUUCAGAAAUGGUUUUAAUCAAAGAAAUUUUAAUUCUAUUAUUCUGUAAAAUAAUAUUUAAUUAGUUUAAAUGUACACAAAUGCAUAAAAAUAAUUUUAAAUUCCAUUAGACAUUCUAAAAUAUUAUCAAAUUUCAUUCAAUUUUAAAACAGGUAAAAUCGGACAGAACUUAUGGGAUGACCUGAUACACAAAGUUAUGGCUUUAUAAGUUCGUUCAGAGGUGCCUCUCUUAGGUACAUCUCAUUGACGAGAGCCCAAAAUCUUCAAACAUAGAUGUCUGGGAUUCCUAAUAGAUCACGUGUUCUCACACAUUUUCACAAUAAGAGAGAUUUAUUCUCCACGGUAACUGCAGGGUGUUUGCCUUCUAACAGUUGAAAUAUGUCACAAACAUAUUCCAAAUAACCUAACGAAAACAGUGUCGGGUGUGAAGUUUUACUGGGGCAAUAUGUCUGUCAGACGGUAACGCAGGUGUCCCAAGGCAAGCUCAGCGAAUACAGAGCGAGAAAGCGAUGCUCGUCGAUCAUUUCCGAACAACGACGAGCUAGACGCGCCUACCGAGAGAUGUCAAAGUUACCACAGGAAUAACUGGCUUGUGGCAGCUAAGCGUUCGCAACGACGUCACUUUUCGUUCUUUCGAUGUCAGCUCUUUCUAUCAUUGCGAAGCAAAAUGCGCAAAGCGUUGGAUUAUAUAUAUAGGAGGAAUUUCAACCAUGUUUCGUGGUCUGCUACCACAAC
rnacentral:ncRNA from 1 species